GCCGCCUUGGUUCGAUCGGGAUACUCAUCAAAUAACAUUGAAAACCGGGCAGUCUUCUCUUGUCAAUGGCGGGCCAUUAACCAAGCGUUCUAAUAAAUGCCGAUGGAUUACAAAGACAGAGAGCACCCAAAACCUGUGAUAAAGGAGUUUUCAUCACAUCACCCUGGCGGUC
rnacentral:sRNA from 1 species